rnacentral:rRNA from 1 species
CGUUCCCGGGCCUUGUACACACCGCCCGUCACACCAUGGGAGUGGGUUGCAAAAGAAGUAGGUAGCUUAACCUUCGGGAGGGCGCUUACCACUUUGUGAUUCAUGACUGGGGUGAAGUCGUAACAAGGUAACCGUAGGGGAACCUGCGGUUGGAUCACCUCCUUACCUUAAAGAAGC